CAUGAAGCUGGAAUUGCUAGUAAUGGCAGGUCAGCAUACUGCCGUGAAUACGUUCCCGGGCCUUGUACACACCGCCCGUCACACCAUGAGAGUUGGGAAUACCCGAAGCCUGUGAGCUAACUUAUAGAGGCAGCAGUCGAAGGUAGAAUCAAUGAUUGGGGUGAAGUCGUAACAAGGUAUC
rnacentral:rRNA from 1 species